CCUACGGGGGGCAGCAGUGGGGGAUAUUGCACAAUGGGGGAAACCCUGAUGCAGCGACGCCGCGUGGGGGAAGACGGUCCUCUGGAUUGUAAACCACUGUCCCCAGGGACGAAGAUGACGGUACCGGGGGAGGAAGCUCCGGCUAACUACGUGCCAGCAGCCGCGGUAAGACGGAGGGAGCGAGCGUGGUCCGGAAGUACUGGGUGUAAAGGGAGCGGAGGCGGGACUGCAAGUUGGGUGUCAAAUCUACCGGCUCAACCGGUAGCCGCACUCCAAACUGCAGUUCUUGAGUGAAGUAGAGGCAGGCGGAAUUCCUAGUGUAGCGGUGAAAUGCGUAGAUAUUAGGAGGAACACCAGUGGCGAAGGCGGCCUGCUGGGCUUUUACUGACGCUGAGGCUCGAAAGUGUGGGGAGCAAACAGGAUUAGAUACCCGAGUAGUC
rnacentral:rRNA from 1 species